rnacentral:tRNA from 1 species
AAGAAAUCUGGGAUUAAACAAGGCUUCUAACCAUGCUUAGAGUGGUUCAACUCCUCUCUUCUUU